UUACGGGAGGCAGCAGUGAGGAAUAUUGGUCAAUGGGGGCAACCCUGAACCAGCCAUGCCGCGUGAAGGAAGACGGUUCUAAGAAUUGUAAACUUCUUUUGUACGGGGGUAAUUUUAUCUACGUGUAGGUAAUUGAAAGUACUGUACGAAUAAGCAUCGGCUAACUCCGUGCCAGCAGCCGCGGUAAUACGGAGGAUGCGAGCGUUAUCCGGAUUUAUUGGGUUUAAAGGGUGCGUAGGCGGAUUUAUAAGUCAGCGGUGAAAGACUGUCGCUCAACGAUAGCAUUGCCAUUGAUACUGUAGAUCUUGAGUACAUUUGAGGUAGGCGGAAUGUGUAGUGUAGCGGUGAAAUGCUUAGAUAUUACACAGGACACCAAUUGCGAAGGCAGCUUACUAAACUGUAACUGACGCUGAGGCACGAAAGCGUGGGGAUCAAACAGGAUUAGAUACCCUUGUAGUCC
rnacentral:rRNA from 1 species